rnacentral:rRNA from 1 species
UGGGGAAUUUUGGACAAUGGGCGAAAGCCUGAUCCAGCAAUGCCGCGUGUGUGAAGAAGGCCUUCGGGUUGUAAAGCACUUUUGUCCGGAAAGAAAUCCUUGGCUCUAAUACAGUCAGGGGAUGACGGUACCGGAAGAAUAAGCACCGGCUAACUACGUGCCAGCAGCCGCGGUAAUACGUAGGGUGCAAGCGUUAAUCGGAAUUACUGGGCGUAAAGCGUGCGCAGGCGGUUUGCUAAGACCGAUGUGAAAUCCCCGGGCUCAACCUGGGAACUGCAUUGGUGACUGGCAGGCUAGAGUAUGGCAGAGGGGGGUAGAAUUCCACGUGUAGCAGUGAAAUGCGUAGAGAUGUGGAGGAAUACCGAUGGCGAAGGCAGCCCCCUGGGCCAAUACUGACGCUCAUGCACGAAAGCGUGGGGAGCAAAACAGGAUUAGAUACCCUGGUAGUCCACGCCCUAAACGAUGUCAACUAGUUGUUGGGGAUUCAUUUCCUUAGUAACGUAGCUAACGCGUGAAGUUGACCGCCUGGGGGAGUACGGUCGCAAGAUUAAAACUCAAAUGAAUUGACGGGGUCAUAGCUGUUUCCU